rnacentral:lncRNA from 1 species
AAGAAUUCAACGGUAAGCUGGUGGUGUUAAACAGAAGUCAUCAUGAGCUACAAUGAAAAUGAUACAGAGUAGUUAAGAUAAGUGAAAAAGAAAUGAUGUCCAUGUUUUAUCCCUCUGGAAAAAUUAUCUCAACUCUGAAAGGAUUGUUUCUACUGAGCCUGAACUUCAAAAUGGGUUCUGUAUAAACGUUAAUAAAUACAGUUCUAUGAGCUCUUGGAUUUUAGCCUUGAGGUUAUUACAGUCUCAGAAAAAGGCUGAAGAAAGGUCAUUUAGAAUAACCACAUGUUAUAUUUUACUCUAACAAGGUGAUAAAGAAUAUAACUGAAAAGCUACCAACGAAAUGAAGAUUAUGAGAAAGUUGAAAUUACCUUGAACCUACUCUCAUAUAUUCUUGGUGUUUGGGACUGCUACAAAAUGUAAGGAAGCAUCAUAAAUCUAGAAGAAGGUUCAACUUAACGACAGAAGCCUGAAUGUGCCAGUAGUUCCUCCCUUUAAGAGAUGGAGUCUGUUUCUCUGCCUUAAGUUGACCUUUGGACUUAUUUUGGUCAAUAGAAUGCAGUGAAAGUAACCAUGUGCUGAAUCUAAGGCGGACGUCAGUGGCUGUGUGGGUUUCCAUGCUCUCUCAGAACUCCAUCACUGUCCUGUGAACAAAUCCAGGCUAGCCUGCAGGAGUGAGACACCAUAUGAAGAGAUCCCAGUUAUCACAGCUGAGGCCAUCCUAGACUUGUUUGCAGCCAGUUGAUUCUGGAGAACGUGAGAAGGACCAGCCAAGGUCAUCAGAGCCACGUUUGCCACACCCACAGCUAACUGAAGCUAUGUGCCUGGGCCCAGCUGUGACCAGAACUGCUCAGCUAACCUGGAGACUCAUAAGCAAUAAAGGAUAC